GACGAACGCUGGCGGCGUGCCUAAUACAUGCAAGUUGAGCGAUGAAGAUUGGUGCUUGCACCCAUUUGAAGAGCAGCGAACGGGUGAGUAACGCGUGGGGAAUCUGCCUUUGAGCGGGGGACAACAUUUGGAAACGAAUGCUAAUACCGCAUAACAACUUUAAACAUAAGUUUUAAGUUUGAAAGAUGCAAUUGCAUCACUCAAAGAUGAUCCCGCGUUGUAUUAGCUAGUUGGUGAGGUAAAGGCUCACCAAGGCGAUGAUACAUAGCCGACCUGAGAGGGUGAUCGGCCACAUUGGGACUGAGGCACGGCCCAAACUCCUACGGGAGGCAGCAGUAGGGAAUCUUCGGCAAUGGACGAAAGUCUGACCGAGCAACGCCGCGUGAGUGAAGAAGGUUUUCGGAUCGUAAAACUCUGUUGGUAGAGAAGAACGUUGGUGAGAGUGGAAAGCUCAUCAAGUGACGGUAACUACACAGAAAGGGACGGCUAACUACGUG
rnacentral:rRNA from 1 species